rnacentral:rRNA from 1 species
GAUGAACGCUAGCGACAGGCCUAACACAUGCAAGUCGAGGGGCAGCACAGUGUAGCAAUACAUAGGUGGCGACCGGCGCACGGGUGAGUAACGCGUAUGCAACCUGCCUACAACAGGGGGAUAACCCGGAGAAAUCCGGACUAAUACCGCAUAAAACAGGGGUCCCGCAUGGGAGUAUUUGUUAAAGAUUUAUCGGUUGUAGAUGGGCAUGCGUUCCAUUAGUUAGUUGGUGAGGUAACGGCUCACCAAGACGUCGAUGGAUAGGGGAACUGAGAGGUUUGUCCCCCACACUGGAACUGAGACACGGACCAGACUCCUACGGGAGGCAGCAGUGAGGAAUAUUGGUCAAUGGGCGAGAGCCUGAACCAGCCAAGUCGCGUGAAGGAAGACUGCCUUAUGGGUUGUAAACUUCUUUUAACAGGAAUAAAAAGGCUUACGUGUAGGCCAUUGCAAGUACUGUAUGAAUAAGCAUCGGCUAACUCCGUGCCAGCAGC